ensembl:antisense Plet1os placenta expressed transcript 1, opposite strand
AGGUUAAACUGAGAGUCAGAACUUCAGGUUACACGCAGGAUGGAUGGACUAAGUAUUUACAAGAAGCGGAAUUUGUGCCCUGAAAGAUCCAGGCAAGCAUUUGUAUCCCUCAAGUGCACUAGUGUUGCAGGUCUGUGGUCCAAGGUGGUGGAGCUGCGGACUGAGGACAUAAAACCUUCAUUCGGGUGCCCACUGGGCUGUCGUCCUCCUUCACUGCUUUCAGGAUCACGGCACUGACUGAAUCGUUCACGGGGACCGUCACUGGGGGAAAGGGUAUGAGGAAGCAGUUAGCGUGAGCCAAGUGAAACCAAGGAGGUGUGUGAGCAAGGGAAGCCACGGAGUGCGGACGGACGGCAUGCACCCGCUUCUGUAAAACAAAGUACAGAGAUCCUGACUGGGAACCCAGGGUGCCACAGGCCUGUGACUCCAGGUGGAUGGCUGGACCCGGAUUUGGGCACAAUUGUAACCCUAAGAUGGGUAACGGGGACUCAAUUGUUGGAAUGGUAUUGAAACCUUCCCUGGAACACUUGUGCAUUUCUCGCAAGAAUAUAAAAUGAUGUAGCUGCCUUUUGAAACUGUUUGGCAUCUAAUCAACUAAACAGAGUCACUACUGUAUGGCCCAGGAACCCCACUCCUGGGUAUUUAUCUAAAGGAAUAAAAACCUUGACUCCCCACAAAAAUCUCUACACAACUGUUUAUAAAAGAAUUGUAACAGUAGCUCCAAAUCGACUUUGAAUAAAUAAAGAAAAUGUGGUCUACUUUUACAAUGGACUGUCACUUCAAAACAGGAAUGAAGUAUGGAUUCCCGAACUGCCAUCAGAGAGACCUUGGAUAGAUUGCACUCUGUGAAAGAAGUGGACUCAGAAGGUCACACACUGUCUAAUCUGCCUUAUGUGAAAGGUCCAGAAUAGGCAACUCUGCAGAUGCAGGAAGCAGGAAGCUGUGCCAGACCUGGGGGGAAGGUGUGAGAAGGAAGUGAAGUGAGUGUGAAUUGGCUGCUGCUGCUUUGGAAGUGACCAAGAUGUUCUGGAAUAGUGAUGACAUCUAAGCCCUGGAAUGAAUCAAAGCCCACCAGGGUGAAUUUUAUGGCCUGAGAAUUUCAUCUCAAUAAAACAUUUUUGUU